GCGAGAGAGCAUCAAUAAAAGAAUAUAAGUACAACACUUUUUUGUACGCUCUAACGAUUCCACUUUGUUUCGCAUAAAUGUGUCGAUUUUUUUACGUUUGUAGAUGGGGGUUGGUGGUGGGAGGAAAAAAGCGUGCAGGGUGCGCCAAUUGGGGUGCGGAAAAGAAGCAUCAAAAAUGGCCUGAAUGGAUGUUAUUGAUGGGGGUGGGUUUCAAUGGCGAGCACCCGAAUAGCAGUAUAUUUACAUAUAUAGUGACAAAUAUUUCGUACGCAUUUUCAUCAUUUAUUCCGGAAUACUUAACCCAGUCAGCAAUUGAUCACAUUCGCCCCGAGUGCGCCGAAGCUUUUCGCAACAGAGUGGGGUGGGCGGCUGCCACACUCUCUCUCUCUCUCUCUCAUUUUCUCUUGCGCGUGAGAGAGGAAAAUCACUGUGUGGAGUUUCCUAUCAGCCUCAGAGGAAAUUCUCACAGCUUUCGUGGUCCAGUGUUUGGUCUCUCUUCGUAGUGACAACACACUGAUGAAAGCUUAGAAGAGGCGCCACGCCAGAAGUUGAACGCGAGAGCUUUUUCGCAACCGGCUUAGAAAGUUUUCUUUCGUGCUAAAAGCCAAAAGUUUCUACUUUUCUGGGUAUUUGUUGGUGGUGCACCACUAAAAGGAGAGUUUCAUGUUGGAACCAAAAGAGAUUUUGGAGGCAGCAUUGCUGGUGCUUUUAUGCUAAAAUAAAUCAAAGUGUUUAGAGGAAUAUUUUCCGAUCUAACAGCUCUCGAAAGAGUAUGGCUGGGAAGUGAGUGACAAAAUUAAUUUGGUGGCAAAACAGUGAGCACUAAUAGUGGUGAUUGAAUGUGAUUAAAUUGAAAACUAGUAAAUUCAUCACCGAAAAGGGAGCUUUAAAGUGACACCAAUUGAUGUAAUGUGGAACAUUUUCAAAUACCGGGAAAAGGUGCCGAGUGAGCUUUAAAAAAAAAGCUCAAACUGUUUGUGUGGUGAAAGCACACGCGGAGAGUUCUCUGGUUUGCCAAGUAAAUUUAAUUAAAAUAUUCAUUUAGGCUGGUAUUGAGUAGGGAAAAAAAAACACCAACGACUCACGCACAAAAGGCAAACAGAGCUCCGAAAAACGCGAAUGAAAAAGCUCCAAUGCGGAAGAAUUUUCAUGCCAUGUUUUUCAUUUAAUUUUUUAUUGCAUCGAAUUGUCGUUUUUUUUCUGCACACAGCGCAAAUCGAAAUCCAUUUUAGGAGUUGUGUGUGGAGAAAAUCAUCCCUUUAAGCGAAAAAAGGGGGUCGGGUGGGAUUGCACAUGAGACUCCAAAAUGAUGUUGGAGAUAGUUUAGAAAAGUUCCGAGAAUCUAAUUUGCUGCUGCUGGGAGUCUUUUGCGGAAGAAUUUAUAGUUUCCAAUUUGUGGAGAUGAAUUGCAUUCAAGUGCAACUUUCAGUUUGAUCUCUCUAUAUAUACUUGCUUUCAUGGGGGGUGGCUUAAAGGGUGGAUCUUGUGGGAAUGAUUGAUUUUUUUUUAUUUUUGGAUAUCAAUAAUCAAAAUCUUCUGAAAGUCAUGUUUUCUUCUUCUGAAAAUGGAAAUUUUAAAGAUUUUUCAUUUCAAUGAAAAAUAAGAAAAUAUUGAGUUAAUAUAUUUUCUUAAGAAUGUUCUUUUUUUUACAAUUUUCACUCUCUUUAGAGCUUUUAAUAUAUAUUUUUUCUCCAUUAUAUUUUAAAGCUUUUCUAAAUUCUUUAUAUGAUUCACACCUCACUCCAGUCUUCCCUAAAAUAAAGAUUGUAAUGAAAUGAUUGUCCAUGAUAAAGCUGGAAAUUUUUUUACUGAAAAUUUCUCAGAUUUUCUUAACAAAAAAAAAACUUUCUCAACAAAAAUUCCAACAAAAUCCGAUUACAUAGCAAUUAUACUCUUCACGUGCUUUCUAAGCUCACAAAAGCUCUUGCGAAAAAUGUAGAUGUGGAGUAAAUUAAUUAGUGCCUCGUUGUAUACUUUAGUAAUAAAAAAAAUCCUAGGUUUUCUCACAGAGAUUUCAUAAUAAAACACCCUCUCAAAUCAAUACUCAAUAUUUAACGAUCAAACUCACCCCCAUCUGAGAACUCUUGAGUGCGCCCAUAAAAAAGAAAAGCAAAAAGAAGCUUAUCAAAUGGAAAAAUUGUAGAAAUGUUAAACAAGGAAAUGCUUGAGCUGCUAACAGCCAGAGUGGUGCGUCAGGGGGAGUUUCGGGAGGAAAAGUCUCUCUCUCAUUUUGCCAUUGAUUCAAUUCGUUGCUUUGAAAAGUUUAAUGACGUUCCUCAUGCUGUGUUUUCUCGUUUUUUGGAGCACACACAAAGUACGGGGAAUUUGUCUUUUCUCCACAAGACGAAGAUAUGGUUUGCGAAAGCUACCUAAUUAAAGUGUAUUCAAGCAAGUUGUUGGAAACAUUGGGAGAUCCUUUUCUCUUAUUAUUUUCACGAUGAAGGGAAGAAAAUGAGUGUGUGUGUGGUUGCUUUUCCAACGUUAACAGACCCUCCCCCAACCCCCUCAUGGCAAUGCCGCAGACGCAAAAAUACCGUAGCAGGAGUUUUGUUGGUCGUUUUGAAUUUCUUCUUGUGAGAAAACUCUGCCUCACGAAGACUGCGCCUACAUCCUCCACAAAUUUAAUAUCUCUUUGAGUUAAAUUUUGGUUGAAUAAACUCCAAUCUCCGUGCUCUUUUGUUGAUUAUUUUCCACUUUUCCCAACGGCAAUAAAUUGCUAUUGUUUUACUUCCCAAAGUGUUUUCUUACCCUCUCCCCAUCCCACUCCCUCGCAGGAGGAACUUGCACAUAGAGGCCAAAGAAAAGUCCAUCAGUUUGAUUGUGAUUUAUGCUUCCUUCCAGUGUGAAUCAUGAAAGUCCAUAAAUACAUUAUUUUCCCGUGUCUUCACCCCCAUACCGCCCAUCGCAAAUCUCCAUCCGUGGAAAGUAGGAUAAAGUUGCAGAAAAUAGUCAUGGGGGUGGCCAGCAUCUCCAUGGUUCAGCAUAAAUAUUUACAUGGUGGAAAAAAAUGCCCGCGUUUCUUGUAUUUCGUGGUAUAUUUAUGCCAUUUUUAGCGGAACCCCCCAACCUCUAAUAUAUAUUCCCCCCAUUUGAGCUUUUUUUGUCCCCACUCGAUGUGCUGUUUUUUCGUGGGGGAGACUCAUAAAAACCUGGCAAAUAAAUUAUUUAUGAGAUCAAUUUGUUGGAAUUUCUACUCUCACCACCUUGAUUUUCUUCUUCCACUCACUCCCCGAUAGCUGAAGAUUCCUCGAGAAGAACCCCAACCUUGUGUAGCUGUCGAGGAUGUUUUCUGUCACACCCCCACUCUGGUUAUAGAUUAUAUUCAAUGUAGCCCACAUAAGUUGCAAAAGAUUGGGAAUUUGAGGUCAUGAAACAUCAAUCUAUUCAAAAUUAUUACCCCGCCAUGGAUCCUUCUUCCAGGAUCUUUUUUUUCUGUAUUGUAGAUAGGGUAGAGGAGACAUACAACCCCCUAGUGGAGGAUGAGGGAUUUGGCUAACACAUAAUAUGAAGAAAAAAGAAGAAGAAGGGACGACAAAGCUAUUUGUCGUGGAAUAAACAUGAAAAAUUUUCUGAUUCAUGGAAUUGAAUUUUAUGCGGAGAAUGAAUCUUAUUGACAUAAAUUUUAUCUCGAGACAUUUCAUGAGACCCCUCUUGAAUGAUUUAAGGGGUUGAUGGUUAUGUAGUAGUGGUUCAAUCGGAUUUUCAUGCUGUUAAAUUGGGUUUUGUUAUGUAUAGAGCUUUAAAUUAUUUAUUCAAAUAUUUCUCGUGAAGAAAAAUGAGCUUUAAAAUUAUGUAAAAAACCCAUCAGAAUUUGAAGAUUGAUAAAAAUUUGAAGCUCUGGAAAAAUUAAAUUGUAGUCUUUAAAGCGAAAUAAAAAAAAUUAACAUUUUCACCUUUAAGCCAAUUUUUUAUACGAAAAAUUAUCAAAUAAGAAAGUCUCGUAAAACAAGCAAUGAUUAGCCCUGUAAUUAAACUUUCAGCGAGUUUCAAAACAUUCAAAAAUGUAACAUUUAACCACCAUUUUCCUCAAUAAAAUUCAAAACUCUCAAGAUUUCAAGAUGCUUUUGGCCAAUUGCCUAAAAUUGAGAUCCCUCCCAGUGGAAAAUUUACAUCCUUUUGUGAGUGGGAAAUUCGCAUUCUCCCCUUUUUUCGCGGAAAAACUUCCUUUUCCCAAAGCACGGCCAAAACAACAAAAUUUAUCUUGACAUUUUAAUUAUUCAUCGGAGUCUCUCAAUAAAAUUUACACCACAAACAUUGCCGCAUUCAAAUGAAGGUAUAUUAUGAAAAGUUUUCGUGAUUCCCUAUUGAGAAACAAAUUAAACAAACCCCCUCAUUUUCGUGGGGAACUUUUCAUCGUGACGACUUCAUAAAAUUAAAUAUUUGCCAAUAAAAUGAGUAUAUAAAUUUAAUCACAUUCCACGGGCUCACUGUUUGUUUUUGCGUGAAAAAUCAAGCGAUAAAAUGGGGAAUUUAUUGCCCUAUCAAUAAUAAAAUCAUCACUCAGUGCUUGAGGGGGGAUUUCUUCCUGGGAUCGUAAAUAAAUUAUUAUCCAAAUGCCAAAAAAA